ACGUUGAUAGUUGUUGACAGUUGCAAGGCUAGCUCAUCAAGCUUGAUGACAACUGCAUUGCAUGUUACACCUGUACUGGCCACAUUCAUUUAAGAUAGCUGUGUAGUUCCAUACAUGCUACUAAAGCAUUUUAUUAAAUCAUAGACCUAGACAUUCUGACUUAUUACAGUGGGUUAGGGAAACUGAAAUUGAAGCAGAUAAAUGGAAUUCAGCCAUCAUUCAUUUUUAUCAGUUACACAUGCUUUAUCUAAAGCCACAUAAGAGAAUGUUAUGAAUACCAAAUAAAAGACCCUAUUCAAGUUUCUUUUUCCUUUUCUCUUUUUUUGGGGAAUUGGGCAUUGGUAUCCCUACCCCCCAUUCCCUAUUCCCUAUUCCGGGCGAGGUGACCAGCUGCAGCUACGUCAGUCGUGGAAGCAAAAACUUGGUUGUGGGAGUAGUUCAGGGAAGUCAAGGAGAAGGACUUUCAGCUGGCCUCAAGGAGGUUCUGGCAAACUGUUCAACAGCUCAGGAAGGGAAAGCAGGGCCUGUCUCAGGCUUUAUUCAGCCAGGGAGGGGAAGUGCUGACCCUGACUGUGGAUAUCACUGAGCAGUGGAAAGAGCACUUUGACAAACUCCUGAACCCAGCCAAUAUGUCUUCCGUGGAGGAGGCAGAGUCUGAUGGCUUGGGGGAAGCCUCAUCCAUAUCAUUGGCAGAGGUCGUAGAGGUAGUUAAGAAGCAGCCCAGCAACAAGGUGCCAGAUUUGGAUGAGAUUCAUCCCCUAAGAUGCUGAAGGCUCUCGACAUUGUGGGGCUGUCUUGGUUGACACACCUCUUAAGUGUUGCAUGGAGGUCAGGGACAGUACCUGGGGAGUGGCAGACCAGGGUGGUGGUCCCCAUUUUAAUUUUUUUUUUAAGGGGGACCGGAGGGUGUGCUCCAAUUUUUGGGGUAUCACACUACUCCGCCUCCCUGGGAACAUUUACUCCAGGGUGCUUGAAAGGAGGCUGCAACCGAUUGUCGAACCUCAGAUUCUGUCCUGGCCAUGGAGCAGUGGACCAGCUUUUUACUCUUGCAGGAGUGCUGAGGGAGUCAUGGGAAUUUGACCAUCCAGUCUACAUGUGUUUUGUAGACUUGGAGAAGGCUUAUGACCGUGUCCCCCGAGGGAUCCUGUGUCCUGGAUACUGGGGCCACUGAUGUGAGCCAUCUGGUCCUUGUACAACUGAAGUGAGAGCUUGUGCUUGCAUUCUCUGCAAGUGAAACACAUUUCCAGUGGGUGCUGGACUCCGCCAAGAUGACAUGGUACUGUUGGCUUCAUCAGACCGUGACCUUCCGCAUGCACUGGGGUGGUUUGCAGCCAAGUGUCUGCAAACCACCCCAGUGCACACCAGCCUUCAUGCAAGUCUUUUACCAGAUGGACAUACACUCUUUGGAAAUCUGAUAGUGGUUGGACACUGCAGCUGAUUGGACGGAUCUGAUUCUGCAUCACAUCAUUGCCGCAGGUUUAUGCUGAAGUGGAUAGACAAACAACAGAACUAUUUUAAGAAUAUUAAUCCGUCGAUAUGUAGUUCUGAAGACCCAUAAACAGCUUUCCUUAUUCAUUAAAAAGUACUAUGAAUAAUUAUGUCUAUAAUAAUCAUGUGAUGCUGAAAAUCCCUGUGUGUUGAGUAGACAUAUAGUUAAAUGUGAGAUAUGUUCACCUUUGUCUAAAAUAUUUAGACUAAUAAGUCAUUUCUACAAAAUAUUAUAAGUAUUGUAAUUGUAGCCAGGAUUAUUGAAUAACCCUUUAAUUUACAAAGAGGAUAACAAUAAAUGCAGAUACAAAUAA